rnacentral:rRNA from 1 species
GACGAACGCUGGCGGCGUGCUUAACACAUGCAAGUCGAACGGAAAGGCCCCUUCGGGGGUACUCGAGUGGCGAACAGGUGAGUAACACGUGAGUAACCUGCCCUUGACUUCGGGAUAACUUCAGGAAACUGGGGCUAAUACCGGAUAGGAAUCCUUGCUGCAUGGUGGGGGUUGGAAAGCUUCGGCGGUUUUGGAUGGACUCGCGGCUUAUCAGCUUGUUGGUGGGGUAGUGGCUUACCAAGGCUUUGACGGGUAGCCGGCCUGAGAGGGCGACCGGCCACAUUGGGACUGAGAUACGGCCCAGACUCCUACGGGAGGCAGCAGUGGGGAAUAUUGCACAAUGGGCGGAAGCCUGAUGCAGCAACGCCGCGGGCGGGAGGACGGCCUUCGGGUUGUAAACCGCUUUCAGCAGGGGCGAAGCUUGUGGUGACGGUACCUGCAGAAGAAGCACCGGCUAACUACGUG